GGUGGCUCAGUGGUAGAGUGCUUGCCUUGCAUGCAUGAGACCUAGGUUCAAUUCCUCAGCACCA
rnacentral:tRNA from 1 species